rnacentral:rRNA from 1 species
UACGAAGGGGGCUAGCGUUGCUCGGAAUCACUGGGCGUAAAGGGUGCGUAGGCGGGGCUUUAAGGCAGGGGUGAAAUCCUGGAGCUCAACUCCAGAACUGCCUUUGAUACUGAGGAUCUUGAGUUCGGGAGAGGUGAGUGGAACUGCGAGUGUAGAGGUGAAAUUCGUAGAUAUUCGCAAGAACACCAGUGGCGAAGGCGGCUCACUGGCCCGAUACUGACGCUGAGGCACGAAAGCGUGGGGAGCAAACAGG